rnacentral:rRNA from 1 species
AUUGAACGCUGGCGGCAGGCUUAACACAUGCAAGUCGAGCGAGCGGCGGACGGGUGAGUAAUGUCUGGGAAACUGCCUGAUGGAGGGGGAUAACUACUGGAAACGGUAGCUAAUACCGCAUACCAUCAGAUGUGCCAAGAUGGGAUUAGCUAGUAGGUGGGGUAACGGCUCACCUGGGCAACGAUCCCUAGCUGGUCUGAGAGGAUGAACAGCCACACUGGAACUGAGACACGGUCCAGACUCCUACGCGAGGCAGCAGUGGGGAAUAGUGCACAAUGGGCGCAAGCCUGAUGCAGCCAUGCCGCGUGUGUGAAGAAGGCCUUCGGGUUGUAAAGCACUUUCAGCGAGGAGGCGUUACCCGCAGAAGAAGCACCGGCUAACUCCGUGCCAGCAGCCGCGGUAAUAC